rfam:Stappia sp. ES.058 genome assembly, chromosome: I
UGCCGGGUUUCCAAGUCCCGGGGUCACUGAAGAGGCACUUAUUACAUCAUUGCCGGCCGUGCGGUUCGGACCUCCGAUCCAAUCCAAGGCAUUCAUCGCGGGACGGCCACAGGCGUUCA